UACGGAGGGUGCGAGCGUUGUCCGGAAUCACUGGGCGUAAAGGGCGCGUAGGCGGUCUGUUAAGCGUGUGGUGAAAGUCCGGGGCUCAACCCCGGAUCGGCCGUGCGGACUGCAAAGCUCGAGCACUGUAGAGGCAGGUGGAAUUCCGGGUGUAGCGGUGGAAUGCGUAGAGAUCCGGAGGAACACCAGUGGCGAAGGCGGCCUGCUGGGCAGUGGCUGACACUGAGGCGCGACAGCGUGGGGAGCAAACAGG
rnacentral:rRNA from 1 species